rnacentral:snoRNA from 1 species
ACCAAUUCUGGAGGAUUUUCUGUUCCUCUAUGAUAUAAUGGCUUGGGCGCAAUAAUUAAUUGUGGCUAAUCCUGGUUAAUGUAUUUAAUUACAUGUCAUUACACCCCGGAAACACCUCAUAAAUUU